ACGGAGGGUGCAAACGUUACUCGGAAUCACUGGGCAUAAAGCGCACGUAGGCGGCCUUUUAAGUCGGAUGUGAAAGCCCGUGGCUCAACCACGGAACUGCAUCCGAUACUGGAAGGCUCGAGGAUGGUUGGGGUGAGUGGAACUCCAGGUGGAGCGGUGAAAUGCGUAGAUAUCUGGAGGAACACCGGUGGCGAAAGCGGCUCACUGGACCAUUACUGACGCUGAGGUGCGAAAGCUAGGGGAGCGAACGGG
rnacentral:rRNA from 1 species